rnacentral:rRNA from 1 species
UUUGAUCAUGGCUCAGGACGAACGCUGGCGGCGUGCCUAACACAUGCAAGUCGAACGGAACUUUUUUAAAAGAUUUCUUCGGAAUGAAUUUGAUUAAGUUUAGUGGCGGACGGGUGAGUAACGCGUGAGUAACCUGCCUCUAAGAGGGGAAUAACAUUCUGAAAAGAAUGCUAAUACCGCAUAAUAUAUAUUUAUCGCGUGGUAGAUAUAUCAAAGAUUUAUCGCUUAGAGAUGGACUCGCGUCCGAUUAGUUAGUUGGUGAGGUAACGGCUCACCAAGACUGCGAUCGGUAGCCGGACUGAGAGGUUGAACGGCCACAUUGGGACUGAGACACGGCCCAGACUCCUACGGGAGGCAGCAGUGGGGGAUAUUGCGCAAUGGGGGAAACCCUGACGCAGCAACGCCGCGUGAAGGAUGAAGGUCUUCGGAUUGUAAACUUCUUUUAUUAAGGACGAAGAAAGUGACGGUACUUAAUGAAUAAGCUCCGGCUAACUACGUGCCAGCAGCCGCGGUAAUACGUAGGGAGCAAGCGUUGUCCGGAUUUACUGGGUGUAAAGGGUGCGCAGGCGGCUUUGCAAGUCAGAUGUGAAAUCUAUGGGCUCAACCCAUAGCCUGCAUUUGAAACUGCAGAGCUUGAGUGAAGUAGAGGCAGGCGGAAUUCCCCGUGUAGCGGUGAAAUGCGUAGAGAUGGGGAGGAACACCAGUGGCGAAGGCGGCCUGCUGGGCUUUAACUGACGCUGAGGCACGAAAGCGUGGGUAGCAAACAGGAUUAGAUACCCUGGUAGUCCACGCUGUAAACGAUGAUUACUAGGUGUGGGGGGUCUGACCCCUUCCGUGCCGGAGUUAACACAAUAAGUAAUCCACCUGGGGAGUACGGCCGCAAGGUUGCAACUCAAAUGAAUUGACGG